GAUGGUUGUCGUCAGCUCGUGUCGUGAGAUGUUGGUUAAGUCCCGCAACGAGCGCAACCCCUAUUGUUAGUUGCCAUCAUUCAGUUGGGCACUCUAGCGAGACUGCCGGUAAUAAACCGGAGGAAGGUGGGGAUGACGUCAAAUCAUCAUGCCCCUUAUGACCUGGGCUACACACGUGCUACAAUGGUUGGUACAACGAGUUGCGAGUCGGUGACGGCGAGCUAAUCUCUUAAAGCCAAUCUCAGUUCGGAUUGUAGGCUGCAACUCGCCUACAUGAAGUCGGAAUCGCUAGUAAUCGCGGAUCAGCACGCCGCGGUGAAUACGUUCCCGGGCCUU
rnacentral:rRNA from 1 species